GAGAGCGUCGAUCCGCGCGUUGAACUUCUCCAGAUUUGCCUUGUAGGCGGCGGCGUUGGCCGGAUCGGCCGCGGCCAAGGUCUUCUCGAUCUCGGUCGCCAUGGCCUUGGCGUUCAUCGGGUCGAGCCACAUAUGCAUGUCGAACUCGCCCUCGGCAUGAUCGUGAUCGUCA
rnacentral:sRNA from 1 species